rnacentral:rRNA from 1 species
GAUGAACGCUGGCGGCGUGCCUAAUACAUGCAAGUCGAGCGAAUGGAUUAAGAGCUUGCUCUUAUGAAGUUAGCGGCGGACGGGUGAGUAACACGUGGGUAACCUGCCCAUAAGACUGGGAUAACUCCGGGAAACCGGGGCUAAUACCGGAUAAUAUUUUGAACUGCAUGGUUCAAAAUUGAAAGGCGGCUUCGGCUGUCACUUAUGGAUGGACCCGCGUCGCAUUAGCUAGUUGGUGAGGUAACGGCUCACCAAGGCAACGCUGCGUAGCCGACCUGAGAGGGUGAUCGGCCACACUGGGACUGAGACACGGCCCAGACUCCUACGGGAGGCAGCAGUAGGGAAUCUUCCGCAAUGGACGAAAGUCUGACGGAGCAACGCCGCGUGAGUGAUGAAGGCUUUCGGUUCGUAAAACUCUGUUGUUAGGGAAGAACAAGUGCUAGUUGAAUAAGCUGGCACCUUGACGGUACCUAACCAGAAAGCCACGGCUAACUACGUGCCAGCCGCCGCCGUAA